rnacentral:rRNA from 1 species
AGAGUUUGAUCCUGGCUCAGGGCUAACGCUGGUGGUAUGCCUCAGACAUGCAAGUCGAGCGAGAAAGGGGGGGCAACUCCCUUAGUACAGCGGCGCACGGGUGAGUAACACGUGGGUAACCUACCCUGAAAUUGGACAUAACACGCCCAACGGCGUGCUAAUAUCCGAUAGUGUAGCAUCGAGAAAUCGGUACUACGAAAGGUGGCGCUCCUUCGGGAGCUAUCGUUUCAGGAUGGGCCCGCGCUCUAUUAGCUUGUUGGUAGGGUAACGGCCUACCAAGGCGACGAUGGAUAGCCGGCCUGAGAGGGCGAACGGCCACACUGGGAUUGAGAAACGGCCCAGACUCCUACGGGAGGCAGCAGUCGGGAAUUUUGGCCAAUACCCGAAAGGGUGAGCCAGCAAUACCACAUGAGUGACGAAGUUCUUUGGAAUGUAAAACUCUGUCAGGGGAUGAGAAAAAAGAUGCGGUGAAUAGCCACGUCAUUUGACUAUCCUCAGAGGAAGCACCGGCUAACUACGUGCCAGCAGCCGCGGUAAUACGUAGGGUGCUAGCGUUGCUCGGAUUUACUGGGCGUAAAGGGAGUGUAGGUGGAUAUGAAAGUCAAGCGUGAAAACUAACGGCUUAACCGGAAGCUUGCGUUUGAAACUCCAUGUCUUGAGUGCGGGAGAGGAAAAUGGAAUUCCAGGUGUAGCGGUGAAAUGCGUAGAUAUCUGGAAGAACGCCAGUUGCGAAGGCUAUUUUCUGGCCCAAUACUGACACUGAAACACGAAAGCCAGGGGAGCAAACAGGAUUAGAUACCCUGGUAGUCCUGGCCGUAAACGAUGGACACUAGGUGUUGGAGGCAUCAACCCCUUCAGUGCCGAAGCUAACGCAUUAAGUGUCCCGCCUGGGGAGUACGAUCGCAAGAUUGAAACUCAAAGGAAUUGACGGGGGCCUGCACAAGCGGUGGAGCAUGUGGUCUAAUUCGAUCAACACGAAAAACCUUACCGGGGUUUAACGUGGGAGCCCUCUUCGGGGGGUUAGUCCGAUGAAAGUCGGGUGAAUCCACACAGGUGCUGCAUGGCUGUCGUCAGUUCGUGUCGUGAGAUGUUGGGUUAAGUCCCGCAACGAGCGCAACCCUUGCUCUUAGUUGCCAUCAGGUCAAGCUGGGCACUCUAAGAGGACUGCCGAUGUAAAUCGGAGGAAGGUGGGGAUGACGUCAAGUCCUCAUGGCCCUUAUAUCCCGGGCUACACACGUCCUACAAUGGCCCGUACAAAGGGAUGCAAUAUCGUAAGAUAGAGCUAAUCCUUAAAUCGGGCCCAAGUUCGGAUUGAAGUCUGCAACUCGACUUCAUGAAGUUGGAAUCGCUAGUAAUCGCGGAUCAGCAUGCCGCGGUGAAUACGUUCCCAGGCCUUGUACACACCGCCCGUCAAGCCAUGGAAGCCGGGGGUACCUGAAGUCGGACUUGUUCCGCCAAGGGUAAAACCGGUGACUGGGGCUAAGUCGUAACAAGGUAGCCGUACCGGAAGGUGCG